GGGCCUCCACUAGCACCCUGGAGGCCAUCUUCUGGCGGGGGACCCUUACAACCUGCAGGAGCCGCUCCACAAGAUCACCAAGCACCUAAAAUGGAGGGGGAAAAGACAAGCCACUCCUAAAUUGAAUGGAACAGGCAAUAUGAUCGGAAGAUGGUCCACGCUGUCAGCAACAAAUUCAGCUAAUAGUCAUUUAAAUUUUAAAAGAGGCGUGCAUGGAGCUCAGUAAAAGAAUGUUGUAGAGAGAAUUGGCCAGAAUAAAUAUAAAAUAAAAUUUAAAUUUAAAA